rnacentral:lncRNA from 1 species
GCCCUGGUUCUUCACCCGCUGCGGGAACCGCAGCAGCACCCGCACGUCGUAGUCUGUGGCUUCGGGGGUGUAGGCGGUGCUGGCCAGGCACUUCUCCUCGGCGGCGCAGCGCAGUGAAUACAGGUGAGCUCGCUGCACAUAGGUGGAUGCUUGCACGUAGUUGGGGUCGGGCACCAGAUCAGGGAGACCCCGUCCUCCGUGGCUGGGUCUGUAGACGCUGCCCACGCUGAGCCGCGCCUGACCGUCAGGGACGGCCUGCGGCACCUCGGGGCUCCUGGCGGGCACGAAGACGUCGGGGCGCACCGCCCCGUAGGGUUCCAACGCCCGGAACGGCGGCUGAGCCUCGUAGGGUUGGUAUUGGUUCCCGUAGGCCGUCCCGCUCGCCGGCUGGGACCCGACGGGAGGCUGGAGGUUAUCGUUGCUGAUGACCGCGCCGUGCUCCGGGACCGCCCCGGCGUCGUGGUACAGGCUGUGCGAGUAGCGGCGGUCCAGGCCGUCCUGCGGGGCGGCGUAGGGCCGCUCGGGGUAGAAGCCCUGCGCUCUGUACGGGCUCUGCUCCUCCCCGUAGUCCUCGUAGCGGCCGCGGGGCUGGAAGGGGUACAGCGCUCCGGCCCCCGCCGCCGCCACCGCCACCCCGCCGCCGCCGCCGCCGCCGCGGUAGUACGUGUAGGCUUCGUCGUAAGCCCGCGGGGCCGCCUCGUGCUGCUCGAAGGGCGGCUGCGGGUAGGCGGCGUGCCCCGCGGCCGCGUAGGCGAAGGACGAGGCCGCCGCCGAGGCCGCCGAGGAGGACGACGGCUGCCGCGGCCGCCCCGCCGCCCUCGCCCGCUGCGCCGCCCCGGCCCCGCCGCCGUCACCCAGCGGCCCGUCCCGCCAGUUGUCCGGCACCUGCCCGAAGCCGAACGGGUGCCGCGUGUGGCCGCGCACCGUCUCCGAGGCGCUGCGGACCGGGGCCGCUUGCCGCCGCACCCCGCCCCGGCCCAGCACCAGGCGGGCUCCCCCCGGCCGCUCGGGGCCCGGCGGCACGUACUCGGCGCCGCUGUUGAGCAGGCUGUACACCCGCCCGUUGUUCUCCCACUGGAUCAGCUGCCGCCACGGCUCCCCGCCGCCGCCCGCCGCCUCCUGCCCGGCCGCCAGCAGGCACACGGCGCAGCUCAGCGCCGCCCACAGCCCCCAAGCCCCGCGGAGCCCCAUCGCCGCCCCGCUAGCGGCCCCCGGCCCCCGGCCCGCCGCCUCUGCCCAUCCCCGGCGCGGUUCGGCUGGGCUCGGCUCCGCUCGGUUCGGCUCGGCUCGGCUCGGCCCGCU